rnacentral:rRNA from 1 species
GACGAACGCUGGCGGCGUGCCUAAUACAUGCAAGUUGAGCGCUGAAGGCUGGUACUUGUACCAACUGGAUGAGCAGCGAACGGGUGAGUAACGCGUGGGGAAUCUGCCUUUGAGCGGGGGACAACAUUUGGAAACGAAUGCUAAUACCGUAUAAAAACUUUAAACACAAGUUUUAAGUUUGAAAGAUGCCAUUGCAUCACUCAAAGACGAUCCCGCGUUGUAUUAGCUAGUUGGUGAGGUAAAGGCUCACCAAGGCGAGGAUACAUAGCCGACCUGAGAGGGUGAUCGGCCGCAUUGGGACUGAGACACGGCCCAAACUGCUACGGGAGGCAGCAGUAGGGAAACGUCGGCAAUGGACGAAAGUCUGACCGAGCAACGCCGCGUGAGGGAAGAAGGGUGUCGGAUCGUAAAACUCUGUUGGUAGAGAAGAACGUUGGUGAGAGUGGAAAGCUCAUCAAGUGACGGUAACUACCCAGAAAGGGACGGCUAACUACGUG